rnacentral:rRNA from 1 species
AGAGUUUGAUCCUGGCUCAGGAUGAACGCUGGCGGCGUGCCUAAUACAUGCAAGUCGAACGAGUUCUCGUUGAUGAUCGGUGCUUGCACCGAGAUUCAACAUGGAACGAGUGGCGGACGGGUGAGUAACACGUGGGUAACCUGCCCUUAAGUGGGGGAUAACAUUUGGAAACAGAUGCUAAUACCGCAUAGAUCCAAGAACCGCAUGGUUCUUGGCUGAAAGAUGGCGUAAGCUAUCGCUUUUGGAUGGACCCGCGGCGUAUUAGCUAGUUGGUGAGGUAAUGGCUCACCAAGGCGAUGAUACGUAGCCGAACUGAGAGGUUGAUCGGCCACAUUGGGACUGAGACACGGCCCAAACUCCUACGGGAGGCAGCAGUAGGGAAUCUUCCACAAUGGACGCAAGUCUGAUGGAGCAACGCCGCGUGAGUGAAGAAGGCUUUCGGGUCGUAAAACUCUGUUGUUGGAGAAGAAUGGUCGGCAGAGUAACUGUUGUCGGCGUGACGGUAUCCAACCAGAAAGCCACGGCUAACUACGUGCCAGCAGCCGCGGUAAUACGUAGGUGGCAAGCGUUGUCCGGAUUUAUUGGGCGUAAAGCGAGCGCAGGCGGUUUUUUAAGUCUGAUGUGAAAGCCCUCGGCUUAACCGAGGAAGCGCAUCGGAAACUGGGAAACUUGAGUGCAGAAGAGGACAGUGGAACUCCAUGUGUAGCGGUGAAAUGCGUAGAUAUAUGGAAGAACACCAGUGGCGAAGGCGGCUGUCUGGUCUGUAACUGACGCUGAGGCUCGAAAGCGUGGGGAGCAAACAGGAUUAGAUACCCUGGUAGUCCACGCC